GAUGAACGCUGGCGGCGUGCUUAACACAUGCAAGUCGAACGAAGCGAUUUAGCGGAAGUUUUCGGAUGGAAGCUAGAUUGACUGAGUGGCGGACGGGUGAGUAACGCGUGGGUAACCUGCCUCACACUGGGGGACAACAGUUAGAAAUGACUGCUAAUACCGCAUAAGCGCACAGGACCGCAUGGUCCGGUGUGAAAAACUCCGGUGGUGUGAGAUGGACCCGCGUUUGAUUAGCUAGUUGGUGGGGUAACGGCCUACCAAGGCGACGAUCAAUAGCCGACCUGAGAGGGUGACCGGCCACAUUGGGACUGAGACACGGCCCAA
rnacentral:rRNA from 1 species